CCUACGUGGUGCUGCAGUGGGGAAUAUUGGACAAUGGGCGAAAGCCUGAUCCAGCCAUGCCGCGUGUUUGAAGAAGGCCUUCGGGUUGUAAAGCACUUUCAGUGGGGAAGAAAGCCUUGGGGCUAAUACCCUCGAGGAAGGACAUCACCCACAGAAGAAGCACCGGCUAACUCCGUGCCAGCAGCCGCGGUAAUACGGAGGGUGCGAGCGUUAAUCGGAAUUACUGGGCGUAAAGCGCGCGUAGGCGGUCUGAUAAGCCGGUUGUGAAAGCCCCGGGCUCAACCUGGGAACGGCAUCCGGAACUGUCAGGCUAGAGUGCAGGAGAGGAAGGUAGAAUUCCCGGUGUAGCGGUGAAAUGAGUAGAGAUCGGGAGGAAUACCAGUGGCGAAGGCGGCCUUCUGGACUGACACUGACGCUGAGGUGCGAAAGCGUGGGUAGCAAACAGGAUUAGAUACCCGAGUAGUC
rnacentral:rRNA from 1 species